rnacentral:tRNA from 1 species
GGGGGUAUAUCUCAAUGGCAGAGUAUUUGCUUUGCAAGCAAAAAGUUUCCAGUUCGAGUCUGGAUAUCUCCA